rnacentral:rRNA from 1 species
CCUACGGGUGGCAGCAGUGGGGAAUAUUGCACAAUGGGGGAAACCCUGAUGCAGCGACGCCGCGUGAGUGAAGAAGUAAUUCGGUAUGUAAAGCUCUAUCAGCAGGGAAGAAAAUGACGGUAUCUGAGUAAGAAGCCCCGGCUAACUCCGUGCCAGCAGCCGCGGUAAUACGUAGGGGGCAAGCGUUAUCCGGAUUUACUGGGUGUAAGGGGAGAGUAGACGGCAUAGCAAGUCUGGAGUGAAAGGCGGGGGCUCAACCCCCGGACUGCACUGGAAACUGUACGGCUGGAGUGGGGGAGAGGGAAGUGGAAUUCUUAGUGGAGCGGUGAAAGGCGUAGAGAGUAAGAGGAAUACCAGUGGCGAAGGCGACCUACUGGACCAUAACUGACGCUGAGGCUCGAAAGCGUGGGGAGCAAACAGGAUUAGAUACCCUUGUAGUC